rnacentral:rRNA from 1 species
AAGGGUCCGUAAAACGGUAAAUUAAGCGAUUGGAUAAGAUAAAGCUGUCCAGGAAGCGAUUGUAAAAAAAUCAUCGAACUGAUUUACUAGAGUCUUAUAGAGGAAAGGAGGAAUUGCAAGAGUAAGGAUGAAAUCUUUUGAUACUUGUAGGACCGCCAACGGCGAAGGCAUCGUUCCAGGUAAAGACUGACGUUGAGGGACGUAGGCGUUGGGAGCGAAAAGGAUUAGAUACCCCUGUAGUCAACGCUGUAAACGAUGAGUGCUUAAGAUUAGUAAUAAUUAUUUAUCCUUUUGCUAGGAGCGAUAGGAUAUCUAAUUCUAAAUUAGUCUCGAAAUGAAGAUGUUAAGCACUUCACCUGGGGAGUACUGUCGCAAGGCUGAAACCCAAAACAUUAGACGGUCACGGAAACCAGCAGUGAAGCAUGUUAUUUAAUACGAUGAUCCGCGUACAACCUUACCACUUCUUGAAUGUCCUUUCCCGUAAAAAGGAUUGGCCUAUUUAAUUAAACUAUUAAAAAUUAAUUAAAUUUGGAUAAAUACAACAGGCGUUGCAUGGCUGUCUUCAGUUCGUGUCGUGAGAUGUCAGGUUCAUUCCGGUAAACGAAUGAAACCCUUUUUUCUUAAUUUUGCAAUAUGUUGAAUAUUGAACUAACUUAGAUCAUGUUCAAUUUCAUUAAGAUGACCCUUGGAAAACGAGGAUAUAAUGGGGAUUAAGACAAGUCGUCAUGGCCUUUAUGAAGUGGGCUAUAGACGUGCCACAAGAGCCUUUACAAUGGGAUGCUAAGACAGGAGUCAGCGCUAAACCUUAAAAAAGGCUAUGUUCGGAUUAGAGUCUGCAACUCGACUCUAUGAAGCAGGAAUUGCUAGUAAUCGUAA